rnacentral:rRNA from 1 species
UGGGGAAUAUUGCACAAUGGGCGCAAGCCUGAUGCAGCCAUGCCGCGUGUGUGAAGAAGGCCUUCGGGUUGUAAAGCACUUUCAGCGAGGAGGAAGGUGGUGAACUUAAUACGUUCAUCAAUUGACGUUACUCGCAGAAGAAGCACCGGCUAACUCCGUGCCAGCAGCCGCGGUAAUACGGAGGGUGCAAGCGUUAAUCGGAAUUACUGGGCGUAAAGCGCACGCAGGCGGUUUGGUUAAGUCAGAAUGUGAAAUCCCCGGGCUCAACCUGGGAACUGCAUUGAAACUGGCAAGCUAGAGUCUCGUAGAGGGGGGUAGAAUUCCAGGUGUAGCGGUGAAAUGCGUAGAGAUCUGGAGGAAUACCGGUGGCGAAGGCGGCCCCCUGGACGAAGACUGACGCUCAGGUGCGAAAGCGUGGGGAG